GAAAGAGAUAUCUCCUGAGGUGACUGUUCAUGUAUAAACUUUUUAUGAUUUCAGACUUAGCAAAUUUUAACUACUUACUUCUGCAUUAUACACAAACUAAUGUGAUACAGCAAAAUGUAAUACAAACUGUAAAUGUAUCCGUAAUAAAACAGAGAAUUACAGAUAGAUAAUAAUCUAUCUUUCCUAUAGUGAUUGCACUAAAAAUUUCAGAAUUUUAAGCUUUAAGGGGAGGGUUUUGUCUUUAUACACUCUCGGAUUUAUACAUGUUAGGCACUUCACUGCUAAGCUACAAUUCCAGACCUGUCUUAAUAACUUUUUAAAAAUUGCUAUAAAGAAAAAAGUUUUUAAAGGGGCCAAAAAUGUAAGAAGCCAACAUAAAGAAGGAAAUGGUAAUUUUCCCCUUCAUCUUCAGAAAAGCCCACUUAUAUGCUGGUAAUUAGCUCCAGGAGGGACAGCUGCAGUUGUAAUGAUCCCCCUGCAGCUGUGAUGCCCCUCCCUCAGCUGUGAUGCUGCCCCUGCAGCUGUGGUCCUCCCCCACAGAUGCGGUCCUCUCCCUGAAGUUCUCCCAAGGUGACUCUGGUUAUCUCAGUGCAACAGCAAGGAGAAGUAAGUGGCACAGUUAUUGUGGCCGUGGGUGCUGUGUGGCUUCCUGAAAGGAGCAGAGGUGUGAAUGAACUACAGCUGACUGUCCAGGGGCAAUGAAGCAAUGAACAAAUCAUGAAAACUCAGACCCAUGGCCACAUGAUGCUCAACUGAGUGUAAAGUCAGAAAUGUAAAGAGACUGCAAUCAUAGUGUUGCAAUUUUCAUAUUCAGUGUUGUGGGUGUAAAGCAAGCAGCGUUCAGAAGGUUUGAAUUUAGUCAAAUGAUACAACCAAUAGUGUUGAGAAGUAGACUAGGGAAUACUUACAAUAACCUAUCGCAAGCGUACAAUAAGCAAAAAUAUCUUAACCAAUCAAAUAAGGCCUUCUAAAAAUAUAGUCAAUUUUGAUGUAUAGUUGGGGUAAGGCACAGAGGGCAUGAACUAGAGAUGCAUUGUGUUUCACUUUGCUCUUUAAUCAUACGGACAGAAGUUCUUAGGGAAAGGCCACGGAUAUGUUAACAUCCUUUCAUGAUGUAGAUGGGCUCUGUGGCACAACUGAUAACACAUUGCAUUUCUAGGAUGCUCAAGAAGUCAAAAGUUCCUACCAGGACGACUGGCUAAGUGUGGAAAAACUCCCCUCAGGUCUUUUGGAAGCUGCUCUCAGCUGUUCUCCUAGCUUACCUCUAUUUCUCUCUGCCACCCACCAACCUAAGAAGCACUCCCUAGGCAACCCACAGCCACACUUUCCUAUGAUCCAGAGAGGGUAACAGACGCCAAGGGAUGAAACUCUCACUCAACAAAGACCAGACCAGACCAGAAAUCAGCAUCUACAGGCACCUCAAUCACGUUAAGCCCCAAUGCCUACACACCAGUGCAAAAACCACAAUGAUUACUACUCUAGGCAAUAUGCCUCCACCUGAACCCAGGAACCCUACCCUACUAUAGUAAGCCAUAAGAAAGGCAACAUAGCUACGAGAUAAGGAUUUCAAAAUAGCAAUUACGAAUACAGUUAAGGACCCUAAAACUGAUAAGAACGAGUCCUUAAUGAGGCCUCUGAAAACACAAAUGAACAGUGGAAGGAAAUAAUGAGAAUGGUUCAAGGCCUGGAGGUGAAACAGAAUCAUAAAGACAACCCAACUGAGGUAAAACUAGAAAUGAAAAAAAUGUAGGAAGUCAGACAAAAAUAUCAGAGAAAGCCUUUCCAACAGAGCACAAGACAUGGAUGAGAAAAUCUUGGGUGUUGAAGACAAGGUAGAAGAAAUGGAUAAUUCAGUUAAAAAAAAAAAGUGUUAAAUCUAAAAACAUUCAGGCACAAAACAUCCAGGAAAUCUGGGACACUAUGAAAAGAUUAAAUCUACGAAUAACAGAAAGGAGAAUAAACCCAGGCCAAAGGCACAGAAACUGUUUUCAAUAAAAUCAUAAAAGGAAAGCUUCCCAACCUAAAGGAGGUACUUAUCAAAGUACAAGAAGCAUACAGAGCAACCAAUACACCAGAAACGAAAAUCUCCACAAUAGUCAAAACACUAAACAUACGCAACAAGAUGAGAACAUUAAAAGUAUUCUCAGUGGAGACUCUGAAAGCCAGAAUGGCCUAAAAGAUGUUCUACAAAUUCUAGGAGAUGAGAGAUGCCAAUCCAGACUAAACUUUCUAUCUAUAUAUCUACAGAACUCUAUACCCAGCAAAACUGUCAAUCACAACAGAUGGAGAAAGAAAAAUAUUCCACAACAAAACCAAAUUCAAGCAGAAUCUACCUAUGAAUCCAGCUCUACAGAAGGUACUUCAGCCUGAAAAGGCUGACCACAUCCAAGAAACACAAGGAAUAAAUAAUACCAGAACACUGAGUCACAAGGGAGGAUGGGAUUCAAACUUUAACAACAGAAGAACUACCAAUAAAAACUGCUUGUUGUUCAUUCUCAAGAAGAGUUUCAAAUCCCCCAAUAAAAAGACACAGACUAACAUACUGGAUUAGAAAACAGGAUCCAUCUUUGUACUGCACCCAAGAAACACACCUUACUAUCAGUAUAGACAUCACCUCAAGGUAAAAGGAUGGAAAAAGAUAUUCCAAGCAAAUAGAUCCCAAAAGGAAGAGAUUGUAGCCAUUUUAAUAUCUGACAAAAUAGACUUCAAACCAAAACAAAUCAGAAGAGUCAUGGAAGGACACUAAAUACUCAUCAAAGGAAAAAUCCACCCAGAGGACACUGCAACUCUACAUAUCCAUGCACCAAGCACAAGUGCACCCAAGUUCAUAAAAGAAAUGCUAAAACAGCUAAAAUCACAUACUGAACCUCACACAUUGGUGGUGGGAGACCUCAGUACCCAACUCUCGCCAAUAGAUAGGUCAUCCAGACAAAAACUAAACAGAGAAAUACUGGAGUUGACAAUGUUACAAACCAGUAAUAUAACAGAUACUUACAGAACAAUUCAUUAAACAUAAAUGCAUAUACCUUCUCUGUACCUCAUGAGACUUUCUCCAAAGUUGACCACAUGCUGAGAUGCAAAGCAAAUCUCAACAGAUACAAGAAAACUGAAAUAAGCCCCCUGCAUCCUAUCUGACCACCAUGGAUUAAAGCUGGAUAUCAUCAACAACAGAAACAAUAGAAAGUUUACAAACUCAUGGAAACAGAACAACUUCCUACUGAGUGAAAAAUGAAACAAGUUAGAAAUCAAGAAGGAAAUUAAAAACUUUUCAGAAUUGAAUGAAACUGAACACACAACAUACACACACCUGUGAGACACAAUGAAGAUGGUUAUGAGGUAAGCUUGUGGCACUAAGUGCCUACGUGAAAAAUUUGGAGAGAUUUUUCUCAUAUUUGUAACUUAGCAACAACCUGAAAACUCUAGCAUAACAAAAAGAAAUAACACCCCACAAAAAGUGGACAGCAAGAAACAAAUUCAGGGCUGAAAUCAAUGAGAUAGAAACAAACAAAAAUACAAAGUUUCAAUGAAACUAUGAUUUGAAAAAAAAAAAAACAUUAAGAGGGCUGGAGAGAUGGCUCAGCAGUUAAGAGCACUGACUGCUCUUCCAGAGGUCCUGAGUUCAAUUCCCAGUAACCACAUGGUGGCUCACAACCAUUUGUAAUGAGAUCUGAUGCCUUCUUCUGGUGUGUCUGAAGACAGCUACAGUAUACUUACAUAUAAUAAAUAAAUAAAUCUUUAAAAAAUCAUUAAGAUUGAUAAACCCCUAGCCAACAAGAUGGCUGCAUGUAGAAGAAUCCAAAUAGAUCCAUACUUAUCAUCCUGCACAAAACUCAACUCCAAAUGGAUCAAGGACCCCCAACAAAAGGCCAGAUACACUGAAUCCGAUUAAAGAAAGUGGGAAUAGUCUUGAACUCAUUAGCACAGGAAAACAGCAAUUAACAUGGGACCUCAUGAAACUGAGAUGCUUCUGUAUGGUAACAGACACCAACAUUGGGACAAAGGGGCAGCCCACAGAAUAGAAAAGAUUUUUAUCAACUACUACCCAUCUUGUAGAUGGCUGAUAUCAAAAGCAUAUAAAGAACUGAAACAACUGGAUAUCAAGAAAACAACCCAAUUAAAAAUGGGGUACAUGGGGGCUGGCGAGAUGGCUCAGUGGUUAAGAGUGCCGACUGCUCUUCCGAAGGUCCCGAGUUCAAAUCCCAGCAACCACAUGGUGGCUCACAACCAUCCGUAAUGAAAUCUGAUGCCCUCUUCUGGAGUGUCU
rnacentral:lncRNA from 1 species